rnacentral:rRNA from 1 species
AGUGAACGCUGGCGGUAGGCCUAACACAUGCAAGUCGAACGGCAGCACAGUAAGAGCUUGCUCUUACGGGUGGCGAGUGGCGCACGGGUGAGGAAUACAUCGGAAUCUACUUUUUCGUGGGGGAUAACGUAGGGAAACUUACGCUAAUACCGCAUACGACCUACGGGUGUAAGCAGGGGAUUUUCGGACCUUGCGCGAUUGAAUGAGCCGAUGUCGGAUUAGUUAGUUGGCGGGGCUAAGCCCCACCAAGGCGACGAUCCGUAGCUGGUCUCAGAGGAUGUUCAGCCACACUGGAACUGAGACACGGUCCAGACUCCUACGGGAGGCAGCAGUGGGGAAUAUUGGACAAUGGGCGCAAGCCUGAUCCAGCCAUACCGCGUGGGUGAAGAAGGCCUUCGGGUUGUAAAGCCCUUUUGUUGGGAAAGAAAAGCAGCAGGUUAAUACCCCGCUGUUCUGACGGUACCCAAAGAAUAAGCACCGGCUAACUUCGUG